UCUGGGCCCCCAGCGUCGCCUCAGUCCGCCUGCAGCGCCCGGCGCCCGCCAAGGAGCGCGCAACUGGGGUGCUGGGGACACACGGUGAGCAAAAGAAAUCACGGCCCUUGUUCCCGCUGAUCCUGCAGUCCAGUGGAUGGAGCCCACAGGACACAGACCUGCCAGG